rnacentral:lncRNA from 1 species
CGUUCUUUGCCUGUCAUAAACUAAUGGGAAACAGUAAUUUUCUUCCAGGGAUGGAGGGAAGAGAAAGAAUAGAAGGAAAAAGUGACAUGAAAACACUGAAGAAGCUACCUUGAGUUGCUGAAACAGGUCUCUGGGUAGACCCUUGCCUCCUCAGUUAUCACUAACACCAGCUGCAUCUCUGCUAUCUAUCAUAGCCAACUCUGCCUUCUUAACCAUCAGUCUUUUGGGAAGGCACCACUGAGGUUCAUUGCCUUUAACAUUGCUGAUCCACUCUGGAGUCUUUGUUGAUGUUCCCAGAAGCUCUUUCUGCUGCUUCUGCUUUGGGUGUUGGCCCUGGAGCAGCAUGAGCCGGAAUUCCAGAUGAGGCCCACAGACACCCCUGGACAUCCCCCACGCAUCACAAUGACCCCACUAGGGUGGCACGUGUAUGACCAGACACUGCAGCUCCUGCAGUUACACCAUCUGCCCCUCCCGGCUCCAGCUGGCCUUUCCUCUUUCCUCACUCCUUUCCAUUACCAUUCAGUAGAGGCUGUUUCAAGCAGAUGCACCAGGCAUCCUUAUACACCGUGGUGAAAGUGGUGCCAACGCAGCUAGCUACCGCUCAACCCAGCUGCUUCCUGCACUAUAGGAGCAGCCCGCAGGAAUCUCCCAUAAACUGUGUGAGAAUCCACUCAUGCCCCCUUCACCUCCUCUCGGCAAGUACUCUGUGUACCUUCUAUUCCAUUCUCCCGAUCGUAUUGAUACUGCCUCAGUUAAAGUAG